rnacentral:rRNA from 1 species
UACGUAGGGUGCAAGCGUUGUCCGGAAUUAUUGGGCGUAAAGAGCUCGUAGGCGGUUUGUCGCGUCUGCUGUGAAAACCCGAGGCUCAACCUCGGGCCUGCAGUGGGUACGGGCAGACUAGAGUGCGGUAGGGGAGAAUGGAAUUCCUGGUGUAGCGGUGGAAUGCGCAGAUAUCAGGAGGAACACCGAUGGCGAAGGCAGUUCUCUGGGCCAUAACUGACGCUGAGGAGCGAAAGCGUGGGGAGCGAACAGG